GACGAACGCUGGCGGCGUGCUUAACACAUGCAAGUCGAACGGAAAGGCCCUGCUUUUGCGGGGUGCUCGAGUGGCGAACGGGUGAGUAACACGUGAGUAACCUGCCCCUGUCUGUGGGAUAACUUCAGGAAACUGGGGCUAAUAUCGGAUAGGAGCUCCUGCUGCAUGGUGGGGGUUGGAAAGUUUCGGCGGUUGGGGCUGGACUCGCUGCUUAUCAGCUUGUUGGUGGGGUAGUGGCUUACCAAGGUUUUGACGGGUAGGCGGCCUGAGAGGGUGACCAGCCACAUUAGGACUGAGGUACGGACCAGUCUCCUACGGGACGCAGCAGUGGGGAAUAUUGCACAGUGGGCGGGAGCCUGAUGCAGCGGCGCCGCGUGCGGGAUGACGGCCUUCGGGUUGUAAACCGCUUUCGCCUGUGACGAGGCGUGAGUGACGGUAAUGGGUAAGGAAGCACCGGCUAACUACGUG
rnacentral:rRNA from 1 species